GCCCUAAGCCAUACCACCUUGUGCUGUGAUCCCUUCAGAUCUCACAGGCUAAAGCAGGGUCAGCACUUGGAGGGGAGAUCUCCAAGGAAAACACCAGUGCU
ensembl:rRNA 5S_rRNA 5S ribosomal RNA